rnacentral:rRNA from 1 species
UACAGAGGGCGCGAGCGUUGUCCGGAAUCACUGGGCGUAAAGGGCGCGUAGGCGGCCUGUUGCGUCCGCUGUGAAAUCCCGGGGCUCAACCCCGGGCCUGCAGUGGAUACGGGCUGGCUAGAGGCAGGCAGGGGAGAACGGAAUUCCUGGUGUAGCGGUGAAAUGCGCAGAUAUCAGGAGGAACACCGGUGGCGAAGGCGGUUCUCUGGGCCUGUACUGACGCUGAGGUGCGAAAGCGUGGGGAGCAAACAGG